GAUUUAUUGGGUUUAAAGGGUGCGUAGGCGGUUUGAUAAGUUAGAGGUGAAAUUUCGGGGCUCAACCCUGAACGUGCCUCUAAUACUGUUGAGCUAGAGAGUAGUUGCGGUAGGCGGAAUGUAUGGUGUAGCGGUGAAAUGCUUAGAGAUCAUACAGAACACCGAUUGCGAAGGCAGCUUACCAAACUAUAUCUGACGUUG
rnacentral:rRNA from 1 species